AUGGAUGAAAGCGGGGGAUCGCAAGACCUCGCGCGAUUGGAGCGGCCGAUAUCAGAUUAGGUAGUUGGUGAGGUAAAGGCUCACCAAGCCGACGAUCUGUAGCUGGUCUGAGAGGACGACCAGCCACACUGGGACUGAGACACGGCCCAGACUCCUACGGGAGGCAGCAGUGGGGAAUUUUUGGACAAUGGGCGCAAGCCUGAUCCAGCAAUGCCGCGUGCAGGAUGAAGGCCUUCGGGUUGUAAACUGCUUUUGUACGGAACGAAACGGUGAGCUCUAAUACAGUUUGCUAAUGACGGUACCGUAAGAAUAAGCACCGGCUAACUACGUG
rnacentral:rRNA from 1 species